CACAGGCAUGCCUAUACGGCGAGUGAAGCGGCAACAGCUCAAAUUUGAAAUCUGGCUUCGGCCCGAGUUGUAAUUUGCAGAGGAAGCUUUGGGCGCGGCACCGACUGAGUCCCCUGGAACGGGGCGCCAUAGAGGGUGAGAGCCCCGUAUAGUCGGACGCCUAGCCUGUGUAAAGCUCCUUCGACGAGUCGAGUAGUUUGGGAAUGCUGCUCAAAAUGGGAGGUAAAUUUCUUCUAAAGCUAAAUACCGGCCAGAGACCGAUAGCGCACAAGUAGAGUGAUCGAAAGAUGAAAAGCACUUUGAAAAGAGGGUUAAAUAGCACGUGAAAUUGUUGAAAGGGAAGCGCUUGUGACCAGACUUGCGCCCGGCUGAUCAUCCGGUGUUCUCACCGGUGCACUCUGCCGGGCUCAGGCCAGCAUCGGUUCUCGUGGGGGGAUAAAGGUCCUGGGAACGUGGCUCCUCCGGGAGUGUUAUAGCCCAGGGCGUCAUGCCCCCGCGGGGACCGAGGUUCGCGCUCUGCAAGGAUGCUGGCGUAAUGGUCAUCAGCGACCCGUCUUGAAACACGGACCAAGGAGUCAAGGUUUUGCGCGAGUGUUUGGGUGUAAAACCCGCACGCGUAAUGAAAGUGAACGUAGGUGAGAGCCCUCGGGCGCAUCAUCGACCGAUCCUGAUGUUCUCGGAUGGAUUUGAGUAGGAGCGUUAAGCCUUGGACCCGAAAGAUGGUGAACUAUGCUUGGAUAGGGUGAAGCCGAGGAAACUCUGGUGGAGGCUCGCAGCGGUUCUGACGUGCUCGAUCGUCAAUCUGA
rnacentral:rRNA from 1 species